UACGUAGGGUGCAAGCGUUGUCCGGAAUUAUUGGGCGUAAAGAGCUCGUAGGCGGUGUGUCGCGUCGGCCGUGAAAACCUGCAGCUUAACUGUGGGCUUGCGGUCGAUACGGGCAUCACUGGAGUUCGGCAGGGGAGACUGGAAUUCCUGGUGUAGCGGUGAAAUGCGCAGAUAUCAGGAGGAACACCGGUGGCGAAGGCGGGUCUCUGGGCCGAAACUGACGCUGAGGAGCGAAAGCGUGGGGAGCAAACAGG
rnacentral:rRNA from 1 species